UACGUAGGUGGCAAGCGUUGUCCGGAAUUAUUGGGCGUAAAGCGCGCGCAGGCGGUCUCUUAAGUCUGAUGUGUAAUCUCGCGGCUCAACCGUGAGCGGUCAUUGGAAACUGGGAGACUUGAGUGCAGAAGAGAAGAGCGGAAUUCCACGUGUAGCGGUGAAAUGCGAAGAGAUGUGGAGGAACACCAGUGGCGAAGGCGGCUCUUUGGUCUGUAACUGACGCUGAGGCGCGAAAGCGUGGGGAGCGAACAGG
rnacentral:rRNA from 1 species